rnacentral:misc_RNA from 1 species
CUUGACAUGUACGGAAGCCUCCAGAGAUGGAGGUGUGCCCGAAAGGGAGCCGUAACACAGGUGCUGCAUGGCUGUCGUCAGCUCGUGUCGUGAGAUGUUGGGUUAAGUCCCGCAACGAGCGCAACCCUUGUCAUUAGUUGCUACGAAAGGGCACUCUAAUGAGACUGCCGGUGACAAACCGGUGGAAGGUGGGGAUGACGUUGUACACCUGAAC